rnacentral:lncRNA from 1 species
AGCGCCGCUCCGGCUGCACCGCGCUCGCUCCGAGUUUCAGGCUCGUGCUAAGCUAGCGCCGUCGUCGUCUCCCUUCAGUCGCCAUCAUGAUUAUCUACCGGGACCUCAUCAGCCACGAUGAGAUGUUCUCCGACAUCUACAAGAUCCGGGAGAUCGCGGACGGGUUGUGCCUGGAGGUGGAGGGGAAGGUGAGUCGGUCGGGACAGAAGGUAACAUUGAUGACUCGCUCAUUGGUGGAAAUGCCUCCGCUGAAGGCCCCGAGGGCGAAGGUACCGAAAGCACAGUAAUCACUGGUGUCGAUAUUGUCAUGAACCAUCACCUGCAGGAAACAAGUUUCACAAAAGAAGCCUACAAGAAGUACAUCAAAGAUUACAUGAAAUCGUAAAAUCAAAGGGAAACUUGAAGAACAGAGACCAGAAAGAGUAAAACCUUUUAUGACAGGGGCUGCAGAACAAAUCAAGCACAUCCUUGCUAAUUUCAAAAACUACCAGUUCUUUAUUGGUGAAAACAUGAAUCCAGAUGGCAUGGUUGCUCUAUUGGACUACCGUGAGGAUGGUGUGACCCCAUAUAUGAUUUUCUUUAAGGAUGGUUUAGAAAUGGAAAAAUGUGUAAUAACAAAUGUGGCAAUUAUUUUGGAUCUAUCACCUGUCAUCAUAACUGGCUUCUGCUUGUCAUCCACACAACACCAGGACUUAAGACAAAUGGGACUGAUGUCAUCUUGAGCUCUUCAUUUAUUUUGACUGUGAUUUAUUUGGAGUGGAGGCAUUGUUUUUAAGAAAAA